rnacentral:rRNA from 1 species
GUGGGGAAUAUUGGACAAUGGGGGCAACCCUGAUCCAGCCAUGCCGCGUGAAUGAUGAAGGCCUUCGGGUUGUAAAGUUCUUUUGGAGGGGACGAUGAUGACGGUACCCUCAGAAUAAGCUCCGGCUAACUUCGUGCCAGCAGCCGCGGUAAUACGAAGGGAGCUAGCGUUGUUCGGAAUUACUGGGCGUAAAGGGCGCGUAGGCGGUUUGGUUAGUCAGAUGUGAAAGCCCAGGGCUUAACCCUGGAACUGCGUUUGAUACUGCCAAGCUUGAAUUCGGGAGAGGUGAGUGGAAUUCCCAGUGUAGAGGUGAAAUUCGUAGAUAUUGGGAAGAACACCGGUGGCGAAGGCGGCUCACUGGACCGACAUUGACGCUGAGGCGCGAAAGCGUGGGGAGCAAACAGGAUUAGAAACCCUAGUAGUCC